ACUCCUACGGGAGGCAGCAGUGGGGAAUUUUGGACAAUGGGCGAAAGCCUGAUCCAGCCAUGCCGCGUGCAGGAUGAAGGCCUUCGGGUUGUAAACUGCUUUUGUACGGAACGAAACGGCCUUUUCUAAUAAAGAGGGCUAAUGACGGUACCGUAAGAAUAAGCACCGGCUAACUACGUGCCAGCAGCCGCGGUAAUACGUAGGGUGCAAGCGUUAAUCGGAAUUACUGGGCGUAAAGCGUGCGCAGGCGGUUAUGUAAGACAGUUGUGAAAUCCCCGGGCUCAACCUGGGAACUGCAUCUGUGACUGCAUAGCUAGAGUACGGUAGAGGGGGAUGGAAUUCCGCGUGUAGCAGUGAAAUGCGUAGAUAUGCGGAGGAACACCGAUGGCGAAGGCAAUCCCCUGGACCUGUACUGACGCUCAUGCACGAAAGCGUGGGGAGCAAACAGGAUUAGAAACCCCUGUAGUCCC
rnacentral:rRNA from 1 species